UCAACCUGCUGUUUAUACACCACACAAGCUAAAAGUGAAGCAAAAAUGAAAAAUAUAUUGUUUCAUCUUCAAGUCUACAAGCUCUAGUGUAUAUGUAAAUUUAUCACCUAGGUCUUACUCCAAAAACUCGGUUGUGCCAAACUGAAUGGAGUAUCAUGUGAAACACAUCAUAUUUAGAAGGCUUAAUAUUCCAGAGAAAAUACUGUUGCACCUGCUUAACUCUCCCGUGCAUCUGCUUAUAUUUCUUAUCCGGAAUAGACAGA
rnacentral:misc_RNA from 1 species